rnacentral:rRNA from 1 species
UUAGUAACACAUGAUCAACUUGCCCUAUGGAGAAAACUAACCUCGGGAAACUGAGGAUAAUGUUUCAUAGUUGAAUAGGCUUGGAAAAGUUUUUCAAUGAAAGGAAUAAGAUAAAUGGUUCUUAUUUGCCAUAGGAUAGGAUCGUGGUCGAUUAUGGUAGUUGGUGAGAUAACGGCUCACCAAGCCGAUAAUCGAUAGGGGCCGUGAGAGCGGGAGCCCCAAGAUGGGUACUGAGACAGCGACCCAGGCCUUACGAGGCGCAGCAGGCGCGAGACCUCCGCAAUACACGAAAGUGUGACGGGGUUACCCAAAGUGUUCUCUUAAGAACUGUGGCAGGUGAGUAAUGUCCCCUGCUAGAAAGGAGAGGGCAAGGCUGGUGCCAGCCGCCGCGGUAAAACCAGCUCUUCAAGUGGUCGGGAUAAUUAUUGGGCUUAAAGUGUCCGUAGCCGGUUUAGUAAGUUCCUGGUAAAAUCGGGUAGCUUAACUAUCUGCAUGCUAGGAAUACUGCUAUACUAGAGGGCGGGAGAGGUCUGAGGUACUACAGGGGUAGGGGUGAAAUCUUAUAAUCCUUGUAGGACCACCAGUGGCGAAGGCGUCAGACUGGAACGCGCCUGACGGUGAGGGACGAAAGCCAGGGGAGCGAACCGGAUUAGAUACCCGGGUAGUCCUGGCCGUAAACGAUGCAUACUAGGUGAUGGUACGGCCAUGAGCCGUAUCAGUGCCGUAGGGAAACCGUUAAGUGUGCCGCCUGGGAAGUACGGUCGCAAGGCUAAAACUUAAAGGAAUUGGCGGGGGAGCACCACAAGGGGUGAAGCCUGCGGUUCAAUUGGACACAACGCCGGGAAACUUACCAGGGGAGACAGCAGAAUGAGGGUCAGGUUGACGACCUUACCUGAUGAGCUGAGAGGAGGUGCAUGGCCGUCGCCAGUUCGUGCUGUGAGGUAUCCUGUUAAGUCAGGCAACGAACGAGAUCCGCACCUUUAUUUGCCAACAAGAAGUUACGACUUCGUUGGGAACACUAAAGGGACCGCCGUCGAUAAGACGGAGGAAGGAGCGGGCAAAGGCAGGUCAGUAUGCCCCGAAACCCCUGGGCUACACGCGGGCUGCAAUGGUAUGAACAAAGGGCUGUAACUCCGAAAGGAGAAACCAAUCCCGAAAUCAUAUCACAGUGGGGAUUGUUGGCUGUAACCCGCCGACAUGAACG